CUCUUCGGAGUUAGUGGCGGACGGGUGAGUAACACGUGGGAACGUGCCUUUUGGUUCGGAAUAACUCAGGGAAACUUGUGCUAAUACCGAAUGUGCCCUUCGGGGGAAAGAUUUAUCGCCAUUAGAGCGGCCCGCGUCUGAUUAGCUAGUUGGUGAGGUAAAGGCUCACCAAGGCGACGAUCAGUAGCUGGUCUGAGAGGAUGAUCAGCCACAUUGGGACUGAGACACGGCCCAAACUCCUACGGGAGGCAGCAGUGGGGAAUCUUGCGCAAUGGGCGAAAGCCUGACGCAGCCAUGCCGCGUGAAUGAUGAAGGUCUUAGGAUUGUAAAAUUCUUUCACCGGGGACGAUAAUGACGGUACCCGGAGAAGAAGCCCCGGCUAACUUCGUGCCAGCAGCCGCGGUAAUACGAAGGGGGCUAGCGUUGCUCGGAAUUACUGGGCGUAAAGGGAGCGUAGGCGGACAUUUAAGUCAGGGGUGAAAUCCCGGGGCUCAACCUCGGAAUUGCCUUUGAUACUGGGUGUCUUGAGUAUGAGAGAGGUAUGUGGAACUCCGAGUGUAGAGGUG
rnacentral:rRNA from 1 species